GGCGAGUUUGUUUAGGUUCAGUUUGUACAGUUACUGUUCGUCGUUAUGCCAUACGGUCAUGAUUUUGUCUGUGGUUAAAUCCGUUUGUUAGUGUUAUUGUAUGUAAGUGGUAGGUAUAAACACAUAGCCCAUCUUUGCGGCCGAGACAUGUGCUUUUGUGUGUUUGUGUAUUAAAACGUAUGGCCUGUUCUGUGUUUAUUUACUUGGCAGCUGUGUUUACAUCUUCAUUUUGUUGUGUUUUGUCUUGUGUGUGUAUCAGGCCACCCGCGGGAGCUGACGGAGGAAGAGUAACAGCAGGUUUUGCACUCGGAGAAGUUCCUCAUCUUAUUCGCCUGCAGUAUUUGUGGGAUGGAAAGAGCUUUAGCUGAGGACUCCAACAUCUUCUUCAACUACAGCGGACAAGUCCCGGAGGAUAAAGGGAGACCUGCAGGGUGGCUCCAGUCUCUCUCAAUUGUCUGUUCUAUGAUGAGCACUGGUCAAAGCAUCGAGUCAUCACCUGUCUGGACUGGUCCCCUCAGUACCCUGAGCUCUUUGUGGCCUCCUACAACAACAACGAAGACACUCCUUAGAGCCAGACGGUGUGGCUUUGGUGUGGAAUAUGAAAUGGAAGAAGACCACACCAGAGUACAUCUUCCAAUGCCAGACUCUCUGCUUCAGGCGGUUUCAGAUAGCCACUCCUUUUCAGACGGUUGUGGAAUAUUUCUGAGGUGGUUUGGGUUUGUUUUGGGCUCUGUGUGGUGUGAUUUUGGCUCUCUGAUCCCUGCUGUUCUUUUGGGCCCAUCAUCACAGCAGGCCAAGUUCGCCAGUAACAUCACAUGACCUUUUAAAGUGGGCUGCCUCUCGCCACAUAAAGGGAACACCCCAAAAAACUGCUCACCGAUACUGCCAGCCCUCAACUGCAUCACCUACAUUUUACUGAUAUCAUUUAUAUUUUACCCAGGAUGACUCUAUGUGAACCCCUGCUGGAUGCCUGAGGCUCACUGAAUAGAGAUUGGCACAGAGGAAGAUGUGUUCGCAGGGCCUUGGAGAGAUGCCCGCUCUGUAUAAUGGUGGUGGAUGGAGUUGCAUGUGCUCAUAAAGCUGAGUGUAGAAAGGCUUCAAAACCACUCACAGCUUUUGAAACAGGAAGAGCAGGGACCUCCGGUCCACUAUGGUUUUACUGCCUACUCAUCAGCAUUCGCCUGCAGAAAUCGAUUUCAUAGAAAAUUCAAAUGGAUUUUAAAAGUUGUAUCCAACUGAGGUCUAAUUAUUCUAUAACCAGCCUAAUUAUACAGGUCUUCCUAAAGAUUAAUUAGUAUUAUUCGUUCAGGUGAUCCACUGACUAGUCAAUUUUAAAAUUGUGUAGCACCACUAACUGUAGACCAAAAGUAAAGGUUUUUAGAAUUUAUUUUGAAAUCAAGUGUUUGCAAACAGAAUUUUGAACAGCUGUAGUUUAAAGCUAUAACAAGAAAUAAAUGAUCUUUAGUAAACCUUGAACUGAACCA
ensembl:lncRNA